UAUAGAUAUAAAAUCGGAGCUUGUGGGGAAAUAACACUAAAACAAAAAGCUAUUAUAUAGUAGAAAAUCAUGGGGGGAUUGCACAGGAUUUUGCAAACCUGUCUCUUAAUGGUGUCAGGGAACAGCAUGCCAGGAAGGUUCUAGCCAACUGAAUGGUUAUAAGGUCAUGGUGGUUUGAGUUGCCCUGUCAAAAUUAAGAGGAAGUGAGUUAAAUGCUUAGCCUCAUGACCCCAGAGUAAAGUAAUAUUUCAGUAGGCCACAAAACACAGAGGGACAUGAUGCUCAUAUAAAAUAUUACCAGAUGUCAGUGAAGACAAUGGAAGUAUUGGUGACCUCCGCCUUGCUUAUGGUAGUCUCAGGGGCCUUCACAUUCAGAUCCCAAAGUAAACACAACUAUUGAAGAUGAAUCAGUAAAUGUGCACUGAUUCCAUUUAGUGUUAAAACAUAUUCAAGCAGAUUAAUACUGAGCGAGGGUCCCUGGACAACCACAGCCCAGCACCCACUGAGAGAUUACACACAUACGUCUAAUUCAAGUCAUACCAGUAAUGGGCACUGUGAUAGGCUGAAAGCAGUCAACUGACACUCUCAGCCAAUCACUGCCACCGAUUACUUCAUAGAUUAAUGCUUCCUCAUUAGAACGAGCAGCACACAUGGGUGGGCUGAUGGGGAUUCUUAUUUAGCAGUAAAACACUGAAAAAGGUUUAAUUCUGAAUGAAAGGACAGCGCCAGGGGACUCAAAACACUGUAAUCACUUCAACGAGAUAAAUCGGUUCCAGUGUCUACAGUGUCCCUUUAAUGAAUUUUCCUACCUGCAUCCUUUACUGCUUAUGUAAUCUGUUGUUAAAGCUGCAUCCUGUCCCUUGUGCUUUCCCUUUUAUUUCCAGGGAAGGUUUCUGGUGCUGUGCAUGUGGCCAGACAUCACAUCUGUGUGCAGCUGUUGUAUCACUUGUGGGACUAAAUAUGAUGGAAGUAUAUGUGCAAGCAGAUGUAAACCUUGGGGAAAUAAUUUAAACCAUCACAUUAGAGAUGUAGUGUGUAAUUCUAAGACAUGAAGCAAGGAAGUGAUUCAUUGGGAGUGAUUGUUAAGCAGAAAAUAGUAAAAGAAGGGGGUUACUUCUCUAUAAGCAUUGCUCAGAAACUCCUGCUUCUGUAUUACACCUAUUGUGUUCAGUGUUACCCAAUCCCCAUAAUAAAUGAUGAUACAUGUACCUUAAUGCCAUACAAUUAUUGCCUUAGUCUACAGGAUUGACACCAAAUACAAUCCUUGUAUUGUAAAAUAUUAUUUUUUUAAAUGCACACAACUGAAAAAUAUUAUAUGGCUCUUAUGAGAUGAACAUUAUUUUGUCAGCAUAAAUAAAUCACUAGGAUUGACAGUUUUUCCUGUAGUUUCUCCAUUUUAUUUUAGUUUGUAUUGUAUUUUGUCAUGUUGCUUCCUUACCUAUUUCCUUUCACUACAGAAGUCCCGGGUAAUCAAUCUGACUGUAUUUGACAGGACGCCAGUUCUCUCUCCCCAUGCUAAAUGUUCCCAUGUCCUGUACUUGCAAAACACACAGUAUCCCUUGCUAUGUUACAACAUCAUAAAAUCUAGUGGGGCCUAGAAAGGGGCAAUUCAAUUAGACAAACAUACAUGUUGAUAGACAUGAUUGUUCUGCUCCAUUUCAGUGCUUGCUAUGAGAAUCUUUCAAACCAUUUUUUCUCGUCAUCACAGAGAAGUGGGCACUGUCUGAAUAUUCAACUGUGGCUUUAAAAAAAAGGGGGGGAUUUUUUUGGUCCCUACUGUACCCUGGAACCAAAGACAUGUUCUACGUGUUCUUAGUCUUAUUUAAAAUGCAUAUUGCUAUAUUGUAUUUGUUUUGUGUCUGCAUGACAUCCCAUUUACUUCUCUACUGACUAGUUGUUAAUGUCAAUAAUUUGACAUUUCUUUUUACAAGUUUCAUAUGCUUCAGGAAAUGGUUUAAUUCAAGCAGCUAAAUAUGCACACUUGCCCUGGCAUCUAAUGGGACCUCUCUUCCAUGCAUCAUUUUACCUGAAUGUUCUGUAAUAAAGAAUCAUGGAACAUCAGAAAUGGAGUGUGCUCUUCCUAUCGGAAAGGUCAACCUAGUUUCCUUUACCGGAUGAAAAGGCACAGUUUGUCUUAUGCACCAGGUGGUGUGUUCUUCAGAAAAAUGUGUAGAUAUGUUCCACAUGUGUCUGUCGUAUAAUGGAAUGUGGAGAAGAAUGUUUUGCUAUUCCAGCAGCCUCUCAUGCAUUAUUUAUUAAAUAUCCUUGUG